rnacentral:piRNA from 1 species
UCCUAUUGAAUUAUGGCUUGAAUGGCCUCA